rnacentral:rRNA from 1 species
UGCCAGCAGCCGCGGUAACACGGAGGGUGCAAGCGUUGUUCGGAAUUACUGGGCGUAAAGGGAGCGCAGGCGGGUUAGUAAGUCAGUGGUGAAAUCCUACAGCUUAACUGUAGAACUGCCAUUGAUACUGCUAAUCUUGAGCUAGGAAGAGAGAGACGGAAUUCCAGGUGUAGUGGUGAAAGACGGAGAUAUCUGGAAGAACACCCGUGGCGAAGGCGGUCUCUUGGUACUAUACUGACGCUGAGGCUCGACAGCGUGGGGAGCAAACAGGAUUCGAUA